GGAGAGGAGAAGCAGCUGUCCCCGGGCUGCCUGGGAGUCACUGGGGAGUCCUAGCCCGCCCUUGGGCCUAGGGCUCCCUGAUGCGGCCUCCACUCUUCGCAGGGCCAAGAGGCGAGGAAGGAGGAGGGAGGGAAGAGGGAAGUUGGGGAGUGGGAGAGCGUCCUCCGCGACCGCUUGGGUCCUCCGCGGGGCAGCCUCGGGGAGGGUGGCUGCAGGGCCCGGAGUCGCCUGGAUCGCAGCGCCAUCUCGUGGCUGCUGGCAGGUCUGCCUUGGGCCCUCUGGGCGCACAUAGGAAACAGGAGCUCUUCCCAUCAGUGACAGGUGCCCGCCGGCCCGCACCCAGGAGAAUGCUCCAGUGUCACCAGUGACUCCUGCUCCCACAUCUGCCUACAGGAAGCCCUCUUGGAACAAAAGCGUCUCACUUCUGGGAGGCAUCAAGACUGGGUUUUGCCAUGUUGCCCCGGCUGGUCUCGAACUCCUGUGCUCAAGCGAUCUGCCAAGUGCUAGGAUUACAGGCAUGAGCCACUGCUCCUGGCCAGAAGAGGUCAGUUUCUAUAUUUUGGGGUCGUUCAGCACAUUUCUGUUUAGGAUCAGAAGAAUGGGCUGAGGCUUCUGGGGCCACCUUCAUCUCUCCUGUCCUUUCUCAGAGUGGUCCUUUUCUCCCUUCUUCAAGAAAUGAGGCACCUAAGCCUUUGUGGCUGAGUUGACCUGCCCCUUAGCAAUCCUCUGAGGGCUGCUUUAUAGGAAUCUCCAGAAUGCCUAACCCCUGAUCGGGUUCCAGAACAAUGUCCCAGAACAUUCUGUGCACUUGACUGGCCAUACCCAAUGAGAGCCAAGUUCAAGAGGGUCAGUGUAGGGAGAUGUAAGGGAAGAGGAGAAUAGUGAAGUGCUGUCAUGGGAAGUAAGAUAUAAAUAAAAUGACCCUGUUUCCAAAGAGGCAGUACAGCCCAGAGGCUCUGUUCUUGGGCAUGCACAUUGUUGGGUGGUUUUGACAGGCUGUGGAGCUAAACCACAGCUCAGAGUCAAGACAGGAGAAAGGAGGCACAGGCUUGGCAGCCAGAUGGUUUUUCUUCCUCUGCCUUCUGUUGGGUGGCUUAGAGGAUGCCCAUGGAACCCAGACUGCGCUCUUUCCUCUGAAUGACUUCCAGCCACAUCCCUCCCUGACCCCAAACUGAAAGCCAUUCUAUUUUAAUAUUUCUCUUGGGAAGUAGAUUCCAAAAUUUCCCUAAGUCUUCCCGUAAGGGGAGCCUCUGAUUUCCAGUAAAUCAAGGGUCACAAGUUUUCUAUAUUCAUUUGCAUUUGGUUUGCAUAAAUUAGCAUGCUACCAAGUCCUGGACUCUGAGUCAAAGCAAGCCAGGGAAUUAAUGCAAAAAGGCUCAAGCUUCUGUGCCCCUGGGAAAUGGCAGAGGAAGACAGCUUCAGCCUCAGAGCGCACAGCACUGAGUUGUAAGAAACAGGUCUCAUCAUCCCCUUGGCCAGCAGAUUUUCACCCUGGGCCCACUAAGAAGCCUGCCAGGGGGUCCUCUGUUGUCUGGACCCUGAGGCUUCAUCCUCAAUGUGUUGGAGCCUAGGAGAGAGGAUUAGAGUUAUGCGGUAGGUGUGGGAGUUGUGUUUGAUGGGCUAGGAGUUGGGUGAGGAGGGAUCCUCAGUUUUGGGUAAAGGCAAAAAGGCAAGGAAGCCAGGAAAAAGCAAGGAGUUGGAAUAAAGACAGAGUGUGGGAGAAAGAGAGUGAGCUGGGUACAGGGGUGGGAGCAGAUUUAGAAGAAGGAGGACAGAGAAUCUGACUCAGGAUUGAGACAGCCCGUGGGAAGUGGAUCCCUAGCGUAGGAACAGGAGAGAGCCAGAGAGGAGAGGUAAGAGGGGGCAAGACUCGGGGGUUAAGUAGAGGCAAGCCGGCAGGCAAGCACUGCAUGGCUAGUUGAGAAUGGAAAGGGGACGUGGUGAUCUAGGAAGUUUCUGUUUAAAGGCAGAGAGUGUAUGGUCAGGCAGGGGCUGUAUCUAUUUUCUUGUUUGUUUAUUCUUUUGUUUGUUUGUUUGUUUUGAGACAGAGUUUCCCAACGGUGCAAUCUCUACUCACCGCAACCUCUGCCUCCCGGGUUCAAGCAAUUCUCCUGCCUCAUUCUCUUGGGUAGCUGGGAUUACAAGCAUGCGCCACCACUCCCAGCUAAUUUUGUAUUUUUAGUAGAGAUGGGGUUUCUCCAUGUUGGUCAGGCUGGUCUCGAACUCCUGACCUCAGGUGAUCCACCCAGCUCGGCCUCCCAAAGUCCUGGGAUUCCAGGCAUAAGCCACUGCGCCUGGCCUGUUUCUAUUUUCUUUUGCCAGGCAGGUUAUAUUAUACUGGGGUUUCUUGCUGAGGUCUGUCCUGGGACUGUCUGAGGUGUCACAAAUAGCCCACAGGUACAGACGAGAAAUUUGAAAGUGACUCCAGGCGCAGCAGAUGACAGCAAGAUGGGACUCCAAGUUCUUUUUCUAGAAAUUACAAGCUGCUCCGCUACCCACACAUGUAGCUCAUUCUCCCUGUGGCCAAGACACUCCUGUGCCUGAGGGAAAGGCAAUGCCUGCGGCAGAAACGGAGCGGUCCCCCAGCCAGGGGAGAGAGUGGCACCUAGUAUGGUACCCAAUGCUCUAAGGCAUGGAGUUUAUUGACUGCUGACUGUAGACCAGCCACUCACCACAGUGUAGGUUGGAAGCCUUCUAAGGCCGUGCGUUUUGCAGAGUCAGCCCAUGAUGGGGCCAGGAGUGUGGGCUCCAGUGUCACCCCCUUGGGAUUUAAUCCUGGCUGCACCUCUGGGGGCCUUGGGUAAGUUCUUGUAACUCCUCUAUGCCUCAGUUUCCUCAUCUGUAAAAUGGGAACAAUAAUGCCUACUUCAUAGAGUUGUGGGGAAAGAACUAAGCACGAUAAUCCCUGU